UGGAGAGUGAGAAUUGAAAUUUGUUGAAAUUGGAUCUUGAGGCACUUAGAAUUUUUUUUCCUUGGUACUGGAACAAUGGCACACAUUCUGUUUACAAGAAGCACUGGCCACUGUGGCAAAAAUUGUAGCAAUUGUAGUGGUUUUAUUCUCAGCUCUCUGUUUUCAGGAUGUACAGGCUCAGAGGUAUUAAUGGAUGGUACACAAAGAAAGCCUUUAAUGGAUUUCUGGAAAUAUGUAAAAUAUUUCACUUCAGCAAAUGCCUAUUUCCACAAAUACCAUCAAACCUUGAUGUUAACAGGAAGGUGUAAGACAGAGCACCAUUGCAAACAUCUCUGCAUGGAAAUUUCAUCUCAGAAACAGGAAAUGAUUAUGGUAAACGAAUGAUCUCGAGAUAAAACGGUUUCACAAAACAAACCAAAAUGAGUGUGGUGGUGCAUGUUAGCUUGCUUU
rnacentral:lncRNA from 1 species